CUUUCAUAGAUUUUUUAGCUAUAGUUUAGGUGUAAAUAAUUUAAGUUUUAGUUGAAGAAACUGACUGAAAAUUGGUACCUGACCAUUUUUGAAGAUGCUGAAUCCAAAGUAGAAAAAAAAAAAGCCUAAUUUAAAAUGUUAGAUAACUGUUUUUUUUUUUAAAAAAAAACACAAUAAAAAAGCACAUUACAAUAAAAAGAGGUAAGGUUUUCACGAGUUUCCUGAUCACAAGACUCUCAUGGGUUCAGUUAUGAUGUGUAAAAAGAGUUUAUUGAGGUAGGUUUUUAUAUAAAAAAUGUUUUGUGAAGUGAUUUGCCAUUUAAAAAAAUAGUUUUGCAAUGCCUGCUGUGAUGUAUAAAUAUAGAUUUGUGAUGUCAGAUAUGUUGUAUAAAUAUAGUUUUGAAACACCAGUAAACAUAAACUUAAAAUUAUUUUAAUUUUAGAUUAAAUAAUUAGAGAAUUUAGUAAUUCAGUUUCUUAGUCAUGGCAAACAGUGCUCCAUUGGAAUCAAGCUAGAAAGUGAAUGUCAUCUUGCAACAUAUACAUCGUUGCUUGGAAUCGAACCUUUUGAAGAUAUUCCUGAAUAUGAAAGAGAAAUAUUAAUGUAUAGGACUGGGCUCUCAAUAAUCAAUGUAAAACCAACAACUUUUCUACAUCAUAAACAUGUUUAUUUUAAACGUUAUGCAACUAAAUUAACACGGCAGUCUUCAUGAAAUCAACUUGGAUUCAGCAAAGUACUUAUGCAGUAAAGACAAAUUCGUAGUGCCAGGUGAAAAACUUUGUCCACAAUGCAGACAUAAAUUAGCAUCAAGUGAAGAAUCAGGAGAGAACGAGUUGGAGAUAAAAUUAACUGAAGAUAAUAUGGAAAAAGAAAUUAUACUGGAAUCAACAAGAUCAUUGCUCAACAGUACUUUGUGUGAACUUGAAGUGUCUCCGCUAAAAGUUCAUUUACCAAAAACCUCUAACAAGCCUUCACUUGGA